rnacentral:rRNA from 1 species
UACAGAGGGUGCGAGCGUUAAUUCGGAAUUACGUGGGCGUAAAGCGUGCGUAGACGGUUAAUUUAAGUCGGGUGUGAAAGCCCCGGGCUCAACCUGGGAAUUGCAUUCGAGACUGGAAUAGCUAGGGUACGGGUAGAGGGAAGCGGAAUUUCCGGUGUAGUGGUGAAAUGCGUAGAUAUCAGGAGGAACACCGGUGGCGAAGGCGGUGCUCUGGGCCGGCUACUGACGCUGAGGAGCGAAAGCGUGGGUAGCAAACAGG